GGAGGGAUGGCAGAGCUGGUUGAUUGCACCGGUCUUGAAAACCGGCAUAGGUGGAAGCCUAUCGGGGGUUCGAAUCCCUCUCCCUCCGCCA
rnacentral:tRNA from 1 species